UAUUUCUUUCAUUCAGAUCUAGGAUGUGUUGUAUAAGUGUUCCCUUUAUUUUUUUGAGCAGUAUAUAUAUAUAUAUAUAUAUAUAUAUAUAUAUAUGAGCAUAAAUAUGAGCAUAAAUAUGAUACUGUAAGUUUGUAAUAUUGAUGGGGGCACCAAAAUGAUUUUUAUUUUUCAAGUGAAUUUCUGCUUUAUACCUGGUAUGUCAAAUUGCAGUAUGUUUCUUUUGUAAAUUUACUUUUUUUAUAACACACAAAUGCUAUCAAGAAUUUAUGUCUGUCUAUGUGGGAAGAGCUUUGCUCUAGCUUCCGCCCUGAUUAGACACCAGCGAACACACACACAGGACAGAAGCCUUAGAUAUAUGUGGGAAGAGCUUUGUUAAUUUAGGACCAAUGAGACAACACCAAAAAGCACAAACAUGGCAUGUUUCAUCUCCCUCCUAUCCGACACCAGUUCCAGAUCCCUAAAUAAAGGAUCAGUAGAAAACAUCUAGUGAACAGUCAUAUCCAUCUCCUAUUGUUAAACAGUUGACUUAGUCUGAUCACCAUGGUAACCUCUGUGCAGCAUAAUAUGCAGCUCUGAUCUAGGAUCAGGUCUCCCCUGUGUCUAUGUAAUAUCACACAUUGGGAUCUAAGUGGAUAAAUAUUAUAGAAAAUGUCAUAGUGAACCUGUUUGUGUGGGGGGAUGUUGAUAAUUGUAUCUUUCAUAUACUUAUGAUUCUAUUAUUAUUAAAUGUCAUUAUGUAGAAUAAUGUUUCAACAAUAGGUGUAUAUUCAUGUAUUCAAUUGAUCAAUGAAUUCCAUCCAUUCCUUAUCUUCUAAAGAAGAAGUUAUCACUUUAAUUUUAUAUUUUUAUAAUAUGUAAAUUGAUUAAAAUGAUCCUUAAACGAAUCCAUAAUACAUUGGAUAAUAAUAUCCAUGAGGUCAAGGCAAGAACUAUGCAUACUGUGUCUUGUAACAACGGUUAAUGUAUUAACUUUUAGGUUUAUAAUGUAAUAAAACUGGUAAAUGUAA